rnacentral:rRNA from 1 species
GACGACGCGUCGGGGGGCUGCUUAACACAUGCAAGUCGAACGGUGACGAGGAGCUUGCUCCUCUGAUCAGUGGCGAACGGGUGAGUAACACGUGAGCAACCUGCCCCAGACUCUGGGAUAACAGUUGGAAACAGCUGCUAAUACCGGAUACGAGACGGAGAGGCAUCUCUACCGUCUGGAAAGUUUUCGGUCUGGGAUGGACUCGCGGCCUAUCAGCUAGUUGGUGAGGUAAUGGCUCACCAAGGCGACGACGGGUAGCCGGCCUGAGAGGGCGACCGGCCACACUGGGACUGAGACACGGCCCAGACUCCUACGGGAGGCAGCAGUGGGGAAUAUUGCACAAUGGGCGAAAGCCUGAUGCAGCGACGCCGCGUGAGGGAUGACGGCCUUCGGGUUGUAAACCUCUUUCAGCAGGGAAGAAGCGAAAGUGACGGUACCUGCAGAAGAAGCACCGGCUAACUACGUG